CACUAAGAAGCUUAUAUUAGCGUCAGCCUUUUAAGUUGAAGAGGAAAUCACUUUCCUUAGUGA
rnacentral:tRNA from 1 species